GGCACCGUGGCGCAAUGGCAGCGCGCAGCCCUCCUAAGGCUGAGGCUGUGGGUUCGAGUCCCACCGGUGUCG